GACGAACGCUGGCGGCGUGCUUAACACAUGCAAGUCGAACGGAAAGGCCCUGCUUUUGUGGGGUGCUCGAGUGGCGAACGGGUGAGUAACACGUGAGUAACCUGCCCUUGACUUUGGGAUAACUUCAGGAAACUGGGGCUAAUACCGGAUAGGAGCUCCUGCUGCAUGGUGGGGGUUGGAAAGUUUCGGCGGUUGAGGAUGGACUCGCGGUUUAUCAGCUUGUUGGUGGGGUAGUGGCUUACCAAGGCUUGGACGGGUAGCCGGCCUGGGAGGGAGACCGGGCCCAGUGGGCUAGGGGAGGGGCCAGGACGGAAGCGGGCGCAAUGGGGGGGGGACUGACGCAAAAGGGCGGAGUGAGUGAGGAAGAUCGCCGGGUCGGAAAACACGGUUAUUGGGUAAGAACACGUUUUUACGUGGGAGGAAGCGUGUUGACGGUAAAUGGGCAAAAAGCCACGGCUAACUACGUG
rnacentral:rRNA from 1 species